AUUAGUAUGCGGACGAAGGCGGCGGGCUGCGCGGAGCGGCGUCCCCUGCAGCCGCGGACCGAGGCAGCGGCGGCACCUGCCGGCCGAGCAAUGCCAAGUGAGUACACCUAUGUGAAACUGAGAAGUGAUUGCUCGAGGCCUUCCCUGCAAUGGUACACCCGAGCUCAAAGCAAGAUGAGAAGGCCCAGCUUGUUAUUAAAAGACAUCCUCAAAUGUACAUUGCUUGUGUUUGGAGUGUGGAUCCUUUAUAUCCUCAAGUUAAAUUAUACUACUGAAGAAUGUGACAUGAAAAAAAUGCAUUAUGUGGACCCUGACCAUGUAAAGGUUAGAUAUCCCAUUGGUGUGGUUUAAAUGAAAACAUUGCCAAGCAUAUGCUCAAACUAUAAUAUCAUUAGUCUACUGUGUGACAAAUAUAUGUUAAUAAAAGUUUGAACUCAGAGGGGAAAGCACUUAAUCUCAGCACUCCAAAACCAAAGACAACCUUCUUCUAAAAACCCACCACUAACUACUCCACAGUAUCCUUCUCCCAUUUACUGCAGCUGGGGUGUGGGAUGAGGUGGGCUCAACCCAACAGGCUCUAGGG
rnacentral:lncRNA from 1 species